rnacentral:lncRNA from 1 species
AUGGCUAUGUUUGCUUGUUUUGUUCGUUUAUCAGGCUGGAAAGCCAUGCGGGCUGAGAAGAGAAGGCACAUAUUGUUGAGUAUGAUUCUUUUGCUCAUCACCUCCAGCCAAUGCAUGGACAGCAAGGAGGUAAAGGAGUCGGAAAGGAAAACUCUGCUUAAUCUAAUCCUGCAAGUGAUCGAGGACAAGCCCGCGUCCAGACGCGUCACCAGUGGCCUCUACUCUGUAUCUCAAGAUGUGAAGUUUUCCUCUCGUGAAAAGACUCCACAUUUGUCCAAGCCGGACAACAGCAGACCAUUAGAUUAUAAAAGAUGUGCACGAUUGCUAACGAGGCUAGCUAUGAGUCCCCUUUGCACACAAUCAUAGAAACCGCAUGUAAGUACAAAGCUGCUUUAACACAUGUAAUUAUGAGUAUAUAAACUAUUAUUUGUAUAUUUAUUAUGUGUUUGUGUGUAUUUAUUAUUGUCUGAAACGGCAAGAUUUGUAACAUGAUAGCCAAGCCUGCUCCCGGUUACUGUUGGGAAAGUUUUGCAUGUUUCCUUAACUGAAACCUUAGAAGAAAUAUUGAGUAAGAUAUAAUGUCAGUUUAAUCAUGGCCAUCUGGUACAUUCUGAGGCAUGCAGUUAAUGCACGGUUCACACAGGCAGAAUAGAACUUCCAGAGAGGCAUAAAUUUGCAUUGUAAUAUGCGUGCAACUAAUCACUUUGAAGUAAUUAUAUACAAAGUGAUGUAACAAAGUCUCCCAAGAGUUCAUGUUCUGGCAACUGAAAUUUAAAUGUAUAAAGUCUUAAAGAAACUGAUUCUGAUUUCAGAUUUAUGUCUGUAUAAUUGAUAAGAAAAGCAAUGCACAAGCUUGGAUCUAGCAGACUCUUCCUGUCCUGUGAUAUUUUUCCUUUUUGCCAAGUUGCAGUUGCCUAAUGCAUUUUUUCUGAUAGAUCAAAUAAUUGUAUAUUAGAUUGUGUAAUAAAGUGAUUAAAUAACAAUCUUGGCAAGUCAAUCCGAGCUCAUGUGUCAAAGAAUCAAACAUUGUUCAUUUAAUUCCUAGAAACAUAUUCAAAAUAGUUCACCUCCAAACUGUGACGCUGGGAUCAGUCUGUGCUGUGACAUAAUCAGCUGGAAUGAGACAUUCAAAGAACCUGUUAGUGAAAGGUGAAAGAAUCCAUUACCAAUCUGAAUGUCAAAUGAUAGGGCUGGUGAAUUAUGGUGGUUUUAUUAGGUUAUGAUUACUCUUGCUCAGACUGGUUUUCCUCUGAAUCAAUUAGAAAUGGUUAAAUUGCCUUUUAUGACGUGAAUAAGUGAUUUCCAUUGAAGUGGAGAGAAAUUAAUUCAAGUCUGAAGUUCAUUGUUUCUGUGUAUGACAGGUUGAGCUGGUUGAGGAACUUAAUUUCGUACGCUGUCUUCCUCAUACUUUUUUCUAACUGUAACCGAAUCCUAAAAGUAUUCAUUUAAAAUAUAAAGGAAAUUUUAAUAUGAUUAAAUCUUAAAAUAAUUCUGUUUAAUUCUGUAUGUGUCGUAGGUCCUGAGGAUAUAAACGAAGAAACUCCAGAGAUGUUGGAGUAAAUUAUUUUUUCCAAGGAAGUGCCUUCAAAUCACUGCAAUUAACUGUCAUUGUUUUCAUGUCAUUUCCAUUUACAAAGUGUAAUUGUUCUAUAAUAAUAAUUAAAAAAUUUUUUUUUGCUUUUUAUCAUAAUUUAUGUUUGUUUUAAAAUGCUCUUAAAAUAUAGUUUUGUUUAAUAGCUUUGCUUUUUAUAUUAUGAGUUUUAAAGAAAGUAUUAUUUAUCUUUGCAGCCAAUUAUUUAUUUAAAUGAUUUGUAAAUAUUCUGUCCUGAUUGCAUUUGAAUAUGUAUCUCAUUAAGCCACCAUUACUCAAAUAUAUU